rnacentral:rRNA from 1 species
GAUUGUAGUCUGNAACCCGACUACAUGAAGCUGGAAUCGCUAGUAAUCGCGAAUCAGAAUGUCGCGGUGAAUACGUUCCCGGGUCUUGUACACACCGCCCGUCACACCAUGGGAGUCGGAUAUGCCCGAAGCCGGUGACCUAACCGCAAGGAAGGAGCCGUCGAAGGUGGAGCCGAUGACUGGGGUGAAGUCGUAACAAGGUAAC